rnacentral:lncRNA from 1 species
UCCUUCCCAUGUUGCACUUCUAUGUGUUGAGCUUCAUGAGAUUCUCAUUCGCUGCUUUUUCCAGCCUGUUUAGGUCGUUCUGAGUGGCCUCGCAUCUGAGCUAUCAACCACCCAUUUCCAGUUUUGUGUUGUCUGCAAAGGGAAAAACAACAUUGAAAAUCAGUGCCAAAGAAGGUAGUGACUUGGGACUAAGUCUUCCAGUGCAUCAUGUGACCAGCCCAGCUCCAGAACAGAACAAAAAACAAACUGGUUACAGCGUAUGAACAAGGUUCGGAGCAUGGAAAUUGAAUGAGAUGUCACUCAGAAACUCCAACAGAACUGAGAAUAUUUAUUUUCUGAAUUGUAAAUGACGGUAUGAUUUCCUCUAAUAAUUAAAAAAAAA